AACGGAUAUCUUGGCUCUCGCAUCGAUGAAGAACGUUGCGAAAUGUGAUGCUUGGUGUGAAUUGCAGGACCCCGUGAACCAUCGAGUCUUCGA
rnacentral:rRNA from 2 species